UACAGAGGUCUCAAGCGUUGUUCGGAUUCAUUGGGCGUAAAGGGCGCGUAGGCGGCGAGGUAAGUCGGGUGUGAAAUCUCAGAGCUCAACUCUGAAACUGCACUCGAUACUGCUUUGCUAGAGGACUGGAGAGGAGAUUGGAAUUCACGGUGUAGCAGUGAAAUGCGUAGAGAUCGUGAGGAAGACCAGUGGCGAAGGCGGAUCUCUGGACAGUUCCUGACACUGAGACACGAAGGCCAGGGGAGCAAACGGG
rnacentral:rRNA from 1 species